CGCUGGCGGCGUGCUUCAUACAUGCAAGUCGAACGAGAAUCUCUAGCUUGCUAGAGAGGAAAGUGGCGGACGGGUGAGUAAAAUGUAGAGAAUCUGCCCUAGAGCGGGGGACAACAGAGGGAAACUUCUGCUAAUACCCCAUAUGAGCGUAGUUGAGAUGCUAUUCUUGAAAACUCCGGUGCUCUGGGAUGAGUCUGCAUCUGAUUAGCUAGUAGGCGGUGUAAUGGACCACCUAGGCGACGAUCAGUAGCUGGUUUGAGAGGAUGAUCAGCCACAAUGGGACUGAGACACGGCCCAUACUCCUACGGGAGGCAGCAGUAGGGAAUUUUGCGCAAUGGGGGAAACCCUGACGCCAGCAACGCCGCGUGAAUGAAGGAGCCCUUCGGGGUGUAAAGUUCUGUCAGUGGGGACGAAACUUGACGGUACCCACAGAGGAAGCAUCGGCUAACUCCGUGCCAGCAGCAGC
rnacentral:rRNA from 1 species